AAACGCCGCACUCACUGUCUGGCUACUUCCCUUCCCUGUUCACCAAGCCCCUCACGCACGCCAGCAUGCUUUCUGUCUCCAUGGAUUUACCUGUCCUGGACAUUUCUCAUAAAUGGAGCCACGUCAUAAACGACCCUUUGUGACUGGCUCCCUUCACUUAGCGCACAGUUUUCAAGGCUCAUCCGUGUCCUGGCGCAGCAGGGCGUCAUUGCUGUUUAUGACUGAAUGAUACUCAGCAGCACAUCUCUUCCACAUUUUGUAUUUACUCAUCUGUUGAUGGACACUUGAGCUGUUGCCAUCUGUGAGCUAAAGUAAGUGGUGCUGCUGUGAACGCAGUGUUUGGUGUGUGUCUGGAUGGGUGUGUGUUUGGUUGAGGGUUUAUAAUUAUUUGGGGCGUAUACCUAGGAGUGGAAUUUCCAGAUCACAGGGUAAUUCUAUGCUUAAUAUAUCGAGCCCACCAUAUUACCUUCCAUAGUGGGUGAACCACUUUACAUUCCCACCAGUUAUGGAUAAUAGAUAGAAUGUUUCCACGUCCUCACCAAUACAUGUUAUGUUUCUUUAAAAAUAUUAUUAUGACCGUAGCCAACGUUGUGGGUAUGAACUGAUAUCUUAUUGUGGUUUUUACUUGCAUUUCCCUAAUGGCUAGUGAUGCAGAACGUCAUUUCAGUGCUUCUUGGCCACUGUAUACUUUCUUUGAAGAAAUACCUACUCAGGUCCUUUUCCAAUUUGUAGACUGAUUAUCUCUUUUUGGUGUUGAGUUGCAAAAAUUCUUUAUAUAUUCUAGAUAGUAGACUUGUAUCAGGUAUAUGACUUACAAAUAUUUUCUCCCAUAUUGUAGGUUGUUUUUUCACAUUCUGGUGCACAAAAGUUUUUUGGUUUGUUAUUGUUUUUCUGGGUUUUUUGAGAUGGGGUCUCACUAUGGUCCUCACUAUGGUCUUGGACUACUGGACUCAAGUGAUCCUCCUUUCUGAGCUUCCCAAAUAGCUGGAACUACAGGAAUGCAUCACUGUGCCCAGCAAAAGUUUUUAAUUUUGGUAAGUCCAAUAUCUUUUUUCUUUUGUUGCUCAAAUCUGUUGGUGUCAUAUCAAAGAAUCCAUUGCCAAAUCCAGGUUCAUGAUGUUUUAAACCAGUGUUUUUUUCUAAAAGAUUUGCAUGGUAGGGGUCCAACUUCACUCUGUUUGCCUGUGAAUAUCCACUUGUCCCAGCACUGUUUGUUGAGGGGAUUCUUCUUUCCCCCAUUGAAAGGUCUUGGCAUCUUUGUUGAAAAUCAAUUAGUACAGGUGUAUGCAUUUAUUUCUGGUUUAUCUUAGUUCAACUCUAUUCCUUUGGUCUAUAUAUCUUUUAUGAGCACCACAAUAUCUUGAUUACUGUUAGUUUGUCAUUGGCUUCAAAAUUGCAAAGUGUGAAUCCUCCAACUUCAUUUUUCUGUUUCAAUAUUAUUUUGGUGGAUUAAUAUUCAACUCGUGUGUGUAAGUUUGCCUGUAUGUUACUGUGUUACUGGGGAUUGAACCAGGGCUUCAUGCAUGCUGGGCAAACACUCUACCACUGAGCUACACCCCUCGCCCUUUUUAUUGUUUAUUUUGAGACAGGGUCUUACUAAGUUGUCCAGGCUGGCCUCAAACUUGUGAUCCUCCUGUGUCAGCUUCCUGCAUGCACCACUGUGCCCAACUCAUUCAUUUUUUUUUUUAAUUCAAAAAAGUGUUUCUGUAAUUGUUGAUAUUCACCCAAGCCAAGGCAGAAGGUAUCUGCAAAAGGAUUCUUACAGGAAGAACCUAGAGAUCCGGAUUUGCUGGAUUUGCCACCAACUCUGUAGGUGUCCUUUGCAACCCACAUCCUCUCUCUGGGCCUCACUUUACUCUUCUGCCAAAUAGAGAAGAGGGAGCUCAAAUUUACGUUUAUGCUUGGAGUGGGACCUGAAACAUUUUAGUGAGCUCCCCUGUAAAAAUGCUUAGAAUGCCCAGCCUGAGGGUCCAGGCCACAGAGACGUGGCUGCCAGAGUUCCCCUCCCACAAGCCCCACACCUGGAGCUGCCUGGCUUCAGUGAAUCCCCCCGGUCAUCAGUAAAGGUGUUGUUCUAGCAAGAACUCAAUCGGCAGAGGGACGAGAAGUCUGGGCCUGGAGAAAUUCGGACAUUGGGUCAGCAGUAGUGUGUCCUCUGUCUGUCAUUGAUUUCUGCUUGACAUUUUCCAGCACUUGACAAAUGGAUUAAGAGCAGAGUCUCAUAUAUUGUGGGUACCCUGGGUGAUGCAAAGACUAAUUAGCUAUGCCCCCUGCCUUCUGGUAAUCAGUUUCACAUUUGAAUAAUAAUCAGGGGGAAUUUUAAUCAUCUUGAAAGUUAUUAUUUUUUUCAUUGUUUUGGGUAUUACUUUCAAUUUUUUUUUUUUUAAAUCACUACUGCACAUAUAAAUAGCCUUUCAGAAAAAGCAGAGCCCUGAACACAGAAGAUCAGCUACUUGCCUAGCUGGAUGCCACCUACCAUUCCAAACAACUUAGUGCAGUCUGUGUUGGUUGAACUGCAGUCAAGAUGCGUUGGUACCGUCUUAGCUUUCUUUACCUGACGGGCUUUCAUAGAACACACCGUCCUACGGGGAUGGCACCCACAUUCUAGACCAUGAGCUAGAACGUCUCCACCUCAAGUCUCCACCUGACUCUUGCCCCCAUUUCUACGCUGUCCUCCAGCUGAUGGGCUAAUGCUGGAGUGUGGGCAGGUCCUCUGCCACUGCUGCCAGAGAUGGUGGUAGUGAGAACAAGCGGGGGGUAUGGUCAGGUGAUGGAUGGCACUUGGCAGGGGACAGAGACACAAGAAGUAUCAAGAAUGACUCCCAGAUUUCUGGCCUGCAACACGGCUUAUUUGGUCCUAGUCAAUGAGCUCAGAAGCACAAAGUGGACCAGGUUUGGGUUGAAGAACAGGGCACCACGUUGUUCCACGGUCCCUAUAGAGUUGGGUACCAUGGGAACCCCAGAGAAGCUCAUGUGCUCAGUCUUAGAAAAGUCAUGCCCGAGGUGACUUUUCAGCUUCCAGAUGACGUCAGUAAGGAGACAGAGGGAGCCCAAAGCAGGGCAGGCCUGACCCAAGAAGCCCAGAGAGGCCGCUGGUGCUGGGGAGGGGGCCUCUGCUGCCAGGGUUUCUUCCAGAGACCCCGGAGAGGAGGGAAGGCCGGCCGAAGUGCUCCCCAGGAAGGCGGCUGAGCUGGGAGGGCUGGGGAAGGGCAGGGCGGCAGGAAUAAUUACCUGAGCUGGCAGCCAGCCCCAGCUGAGUGUGGCCCCAGGGAGCCGAGCGCAGAAAGAGCCGCGUCUUUAGUGCCGCAGGUGUUGGAGUAGAAAAUUUUCCAUGAAGAGGGGGCUGUUCCACAAGAUUAAAAUAGCCACUUGGGCCCUCCUGGCAAGCGCAGCGUCUCUCCACACCUCCAGCGUGUUCUUCAAGUGGAGGCUGUUCCUGUUCCGAGGAGGGAACCGGCAAAAAGAAUUCCUUCUCUUCUCACAUUUGCUAAUAAGGAAGGAGAGGGACAAAGGGCCCCAGGGGCAGCCGGGGAGGCAGGGCGUGGUGUUCUGCUGAAGACCUGGAGGGAGGCUGAGGAGGGGAACACCUGGGGUGCGGAGCCCAGGGUGCAGCGGGGAGCGCUGGAAAUGGAGUCGGGGCCUGGAGCCCUCCGGCUGAGUCCCCGUGCUGUCCCGUCCAGGCCCAGAGUUUUAGGGGUGAACUGGACAGAGCAAUGUGCUGGGAGGGAAGCUGGAGACUCCUCUGUAGUAAGAAGACAAAUUUCUCCCCCUGGGGAAUUGGAGGCCUUGUCCCUUCCAGGAAGAAGCCAGGACACAUGUCCCACUGCCUCUUACACUCCCCUCUUCCUGUCUGAGGGGCUGGGCUGGCUGGCAGCUUGGCCUCCCCUCUGUGCCAGGGUGGCUGGAGGACAGAGUAAGCCCUGCCUGCCACGCAGGUGGCACAUGAACUUCAGGACACGUUCAUGAGGAGAUGGUGACGUCUCUGGCCCUCAUUCAGCCAAGGUCUCCGGAGUUCUCAAACGUCCUCGUCCCCACCCCUUUCUUAGUUGCACUGGGUUUUCUUGGCUUCUUCAGCGGCACCAGGUAUUGCAUACCCCUCCUCCCUCUUUGCCACGGCAGGUCCCCUCAGCCGCUGGGAGUGAGUGUGGACAGCCACCCACUCCCCAGAGGCAGAAUGUGCAGGGACCCCUUGGUCUCUUCCGGCUGUUGCUAUUGGGACAUUACUAUUGCGGGGAAGAAGCUAACCGUGGCCUGUCUCUGCUUACCUAACUUUUUACAAAAUGCCCUCUGCCCAUGUUGGCAAGCGGCUCACCAUCAUGAAAGAUGCUGGGGACCCACCCCUGGUGAAAGCCACUCUCCCAGAUAGUCCCCUGAUAGGGGCAUCUGAGAGUCCUCCCCACUGUCUCAGCCCUCACUGACCCCCUCUCUGAACAACACUUCCCACAUAGGUCUUCUCCAAGGUGCGCAUUCCUGCAUCAGACUCCCCUGGGAAGCCUUUUGGGAAAGCAGAUUCCUGAGCCCAUUUUCCAUUCUGAAAAGUAUCUGCGCUUGCAGUGUCUCCCAGGGGAAUCUGGGGGAAUCUCUCCAGCUGUGUUAACUUCUUUAUACCCCACAGUUUGACACACAGUCGUCUCCACCACACAUUGCCUCCUGUCCCAGUGGGCAGAACAAUGGUGUUCAUGAUUCCUCACAUGUGGCAGGGCUCAGUCAGUGACUGUGAGGACGGCUACUAGCUGGUGUGUGUGUGUGUGUGUGUGUGUGUGUGUGUGUGUGUGAGAGAGAGAGAGAGAGAGAGAGAGAGAGAGGGGAUAGAUAAGAUAGGAUAAGAUAAUACAAGAAAGUAGGGUUAGUAGAACCCCAUUACAGUAGCUUUGCCUGCAGGUCUGGUGCUACCUCAUGGAACUGAAGUGUGGGAUGUAGAGAAAGUUCUUAGCAGACAGGAUCCUGGAUCUACAAAGCUGUUAAGAGCAAAGGCAGGAGGAGGACUCACGUCCAAGGGUAACAGGGUUCAGAUACACUACUUACUGACCAUAUGUGUUUGGGCAAAUUGCUUGAUCUUCAGGCCUGGCUUAACAGCACUUCCUCCCAGGAAGCAGUGGAGGUUGACUUGGAGGCUACAAGAGGCCUAAGUAUCUGUAAGCCUACUGUGUGCCCCAGGCUCGGCUUCCCUCCGUACCCUCCUCCUCCUCUCUCGCAGACUGGUUCCCGCUCCUGCCUGUAUAGAUUCAACCUAUAGCUACUUUACAUCUCCUCAGAGGUAGACACCCAAAACGGAGGUGCCACUCCCUUGGCCCGAGUCUCCAGAGACUCUGAGGGCCUUUCAGGGUCCUCCCCACCCAAAUCAUCCCUGGUUGAGAAUGAGGGGUGUAGUGUGCGAACAGGAUCCAGCUCCAUCACCUCAGCCCCAUCAGGAAGAGAGUUCUCAGAGAGGAGAGUGGAGGGUGGCCAGGGCUGGGUACACACCCCACAGGCCUCUGCUGUGACCCUCCUAAGCCUCCUCCUGGGUCCUCACCCAGGCUGCUGGUGUCUCCAGAGCCUUCUCUCAUCUUGCUGGGGGGCUUGAGUUCUUCAGCCUCAGGUCUGCCUGCCUCCCCCUGAAUCUGCCCCACUUGUACCCUCCGCUGGGCCUUGAUGCCUAAGCCCUGUGUCUAAAGGGCUUACAGUUAGUUGGCGGAAUCAAACACACACACACGCACACACACACACAAGUUGAAGUGUCCGGUGCUCCCCCACCAGCUGCAGCUCCCAGGGAGGAGGAGUCCGGAGGAGGAGGGCCCCACGUGGGCUGUGAGGCUCGGGAAAGCUUCCUGGAGGAGGAGGAACUAGGUCAGGGGCUCGAGGCUGUGCGAGGCUGUGCGGGUUGGGGGGACAUCCUGGCAGGCAUGGGAGGAAUGGGGAAGGCCUGCUGAGAAGCUGCCUGGCAGGGACACGGUCAGGAAGGAGUCAGAGCACAACAGGUGCUGCCAUCACAGGGGGCCUCCUCCUGGGGCUGGGGCUCCAGCAAGCCCUGGCCUCCCUGCUCAGGCGAGCUGCUGAAGGGCCUCCCCAGGACCUGACUGCUCAUUGAUCGGCCUGUGAAAGGCCACUUGGUGGGCUGGUUGCCGAGAGACGGCCCGAGGCCGGGGGCCAGGAUUAGUGAGUGGCCUGUUUGCUCUCCUUGCUGAGAGGAAGGAGGACUUUGGUCUCAGCUUAUCAAACUGCCCCAGGUUUGAAAGCCCAGGAAUGCAACCUUGGGCAAAUGGGCAGGUUCACAGGACACCCAUUAAUCAAACAGCUCCCUUCCCUCCAGCCUAACAACUUCUCUCUCUCUCUCUCUCUCUCUCUCUCUCUCUCUCUCUCUCUCUCUCUCUCUCUCUCUCUUAUGUGGUCUUUUGGAGCUCCCAGAAGAGAGGGGACAUAUAUUUCCUCAAGCCCAGCUGACCACCACCCCAGGCCCGGGAGGAACUACGCAGGAGAGCAGGCCAGCUCAGAUGACUUUCCCUAAUGGGCCCAUGAGGUCCUGUAGAGGCUUCCCUAAGGUGGACAGAGCCGUCAGGCCACCCCACCUGCCCUGUGCCCCACACAACUAGCAACACAUCAUCCCCUCAAGAUGGAAAGAAAAAUGUCCUCACCAAUAACUUCUAGAGAAAGCUUUCUUUAAAAUAUACAAUCCUUUCCAACUCCGUGGACUGCACAAGGGCAGUCCUUGUCACUGCUAGCACACACAGUCACGUGUCACAUGCCAAACGCACAGUUACGUGUCAGCCCAGAGGCCAAAGAUCCAGACUCCUCACCAGUGCUUGGCUCUAAGGGGAAAAGGAUGAGUCUUAGCAUGUCUCCCUGCCAACGAGAACAAGUUCAGAGGAAUAAGUUAAUAAUAAUAAUAAACAUAAACUGGGUCUUAAUAGUAGGUGUGACACCAACUACAAGUUCCACCUGGGGGCACAUAGUUUUCUGGUAUCGGGGUGGAGAAGGUUCCUGGCCUUCAGGAGAUCAUGUGGCUCUCAUUUGAGCCAACUGGCCAUGGCUGCUGCCUGGGUAGUGUCUACCUGCUGGCAGGAAGCUAGACGGGCAGGGGAAGAGAGAGUACCAAAUGCUCUGCUCUGCUCAGACUUCACCCAGAGUGUUGCCUUCCGUCCUGGGCACCACGCCUGAACUUUCCACCCGAUGCCAGCCUAGUCACAGAGGGUGAGCCCACCAACUGGGAAGGGCUUUCAAGCCAGGUCGGUGAGAUGUCUGGUCUGAGCGGACUUAGGAGUCACACCCUCUGGUCCAGAGAAGACAGAGGAAGUCCUCAGCCCUACCUACUGCCCUGCACCCCUGUGCCCUCUGCCUCAAUUUCGGCAUCCACCGCCUUCCCUGGGCAACCACAGAGGUGUCUCCAGAACUUUCUGGCCAAGCCCCUGACAGUUCCUGAAGUCCCUGCUCCUUCUCGUUGGCAGGUAGACAUGCUAACACUCAUAGGAUUUUGCACUUUCCCCUGGAAACUCUUCAGAUCUCUGCCACCCCUGCCCACCUCCUGCCAUAGCCCCAGAAUGAGACAGUGAGACCCGCAGGCCCUGCACAUCUUGUAGCAGUCUGCAACCCUCACAUCCCACAUUACCCACAGGGCAGGGUACCACACAGCACCCAGCCUCCCCACUUCCUGUCCCCUUCAUCUGGAUCUCCUUCAGCCUCCAGCUGCCAUCUGAAUGACCCCCUGCCCAUGACUCACUGUCCCCUCCCUGGGCCCAGCACCCUGCCUGAGGCCUGCUGCUGUUUUCCCCAUUAGCCUCCUUCUCUAGGCUAUCUGCUACUCACUGGGGUCCCCCCACAUCUGUCCCCAGCUCCUGGCACUAGCCUGGCACCCAUUGGUAUUUGUUGAAUGUACAGAUGCCAGCUGUUUUCAAAGGUGUGAAAGACUGUCAUGUGGAAUGAGGGUUAGUCCUGCCCUAAUCCUCUGAGUGACUCAGAGCUGGCAUUGGAAGCCAGAGACAGGAGUCAGGUGAGGUCCCUGGAGAGCAGGCCACUCCUGGAGGUGGCAAGUUCCCUGCACCUGAAUGGAAUAGGAAGACCCAUGGAAGAGGGCGGCAGCAGAGGGGUUCUCUUGGUGAUCUGACCUCCGUGGGCCGUCCAGCUCUAGGAGGCUAUGGGCUGGCUUCACUUUUGGACCCCCUCCCAUGAGCACAGCAGUCAUACUGCAGUCAGGGCUGCAGGGCUGGGCCUUGGAGUGCCAAGAGGCAGGACGUAUCCCAGCAGGGCUGACCCUAGCAAAGCAGGCCCGCUCUGUGCCUAUGGAAGACAAGGUGGGUGGAGUCUGACUGUCAGCCUGCGGUCCUCAGAGAGAGCUGGGCCUUCUCUAUCUGUACCCAGCAGGGUUGGCACACUCCUCACACCCUCCUGCUUGAGGGCUGAGCAUUGUGUUUCCCACCAAAGGACACUGGCCCAGAAGGCCAGGAGCCCAGCACUGAGAUGGGGACUUGGCAUCAGAGCUAACCCAGGUGCAGCGGGGAGGAGAGGUGACCUCUGCAGCCAGUGUGGCUCCUCGGCCUCAGCAAGGCCGUCCUCCCCACCAGCAAGGUCACAGUUAUCUGCCCCAGAGCGAGUGCUCUUGUAGGGCCUGGAUGCCCUCCAAACAUGUGGAGGGAGUUUCAACCUAAUCCAGGACUUUUAAAAGGUCUCCCACGCCUGACAUUUUCCAAGUGUUGUAAGCUCCAGGCAAGGACAAGAAAGAAAAGCACUUGGAAGUACUUCUACGGCUGCAGCUGCCAGUGUCACCUCAGAGUGUGUCAACGUGCAUGAAUCAGUGCGUGUGUCAGUGUAAGAAUGUGUCGGUGUGUACGUGUAUGCAUGCAUGUGUCCAUGUGUGUCUCCUGUGUGUGUGCAUCCCUGUGUAUGUCACUUACAUGUCAGUGUGAUGUCUGCGUGUGCCUCUGUGUGUCUGUGCAUGUGUGUGCAUGUGUGUGCAUAUUGGGAAGGGUGUGGAGAAGUCAUUUGCUUUGAUUGUGAGACCGAAAGAAGCACUUGGUUCAGAAUCUCUCUCCCAGGCUGGAAGGACAGCGGAAGAUGGUCCCGAACCUCGCUCUCUAACUGGUUGUUGGAUGUGGCCACCUGCAGUGAGGCCCCUUUGAAGUCUCUAUUCGCAAACCUUCUUCAUAUUCCACAGAAACUUUGCCCGCUUCCCUGGUUUUGCCAAAACUGUGGUCAUUUUCCUGCUUUGAGAGUUUAAUGUUUAUAGUCACAGGAAAGGGUGGGGAUUUUCAGUCAGCAGGUCCUGAAUCCCAGUUCCCCGGGGCCAGGUGUGAGACUCAGGUGAGCUCAUCUCAGUAAGCCUGUCUCCCGAGGCGGUGAUGUGCAGCGCUACCACGUGGGGCUGGACAAACACUGGGAGCUUUCUUGCAUGUUUUCACAGGUUUCCCCAUUUUGCAAAUCUGCUUUUCCAAUGUAUGAUUCAAAAACAAAACAAAAUAAAGCACAAAAAUUAUAUUCCCAGUCUCCUUUCCUGCAGGAUACAGGCACAUGUCUGACAUUGCCCCUGAGUGAUGACCCCAUAAGAGGUGGGAGCAGGCUGAGGGGGCAGGCUGAGGGGACAACCGUGGGCUGGCUGAGCAGCAGCAGAGGCAGGUGGGCUCAGACACAGCAGAGUUCCAACCCCCAGUCUCGUGGGACUCCUGACUGUUCCUACAAUGUCAUCCUGCACCCUGCCCGGUGGUGGGCUUGGCACUCUCUCACAUCCUUAGAUAAAUUCUUUCCUGCUUUAACUACCAGCUAAUGAAGAUUCUGCCCUCUGUAACUGAGAGCCCCCUAGUCCCAGAGAACCCACAUAGGUCGGCAUUUGGAGACAGGGACAGUUGUGAUUACAAAGGGUACAUGAAAUUAGAUCCACGAUUGUCUUGGAUGGUCCCUGAAUUUCCCGGGCUUCUCCUUUCCUCGUGUUGGCAAUCUUGCCUGAUGGAUGGAGCCCUGGCUCUCAGGCAGCUGAUGCAGGAUGGAGACCUGCCUGUCUCAUCUUCUCUCAGUGGGAAGAGAGUGGAGAAGUGGUGUUUUAGGGAGGCCAGCCCAAGGGCCCCCUUGUCUCUCUUUAAGAUCUCCCUUCAUAGCUAGCAAGUCCCCUACCCUGGGCCAGAGAUUGGGCUAGGCAGUUUAGGGGCUGCAAAAUAAAAGUUAGAACCCCAAUAUCUAGCCCUAAGGAGGUUGGUCUGACGGAGAGGCACCUCGACUGGUGAGAGAGAAGAAUGACCGAAAAAGUGGGCGUGAGGAGGAGGUGGCUUUGGCUGGGGUGGCCAGAGAGGCCUUCCCAAAGGGAUCCCAGCAGGGCCUGACCCUGGGUAGGCGAGAUUUGGGGGAAUGAAGAAUGCCGGGAAGGGAGCCCCAGGAAAACAAUGAGAACAAGUAAAGUGCCAGGUGGGAUCGGUGCCCCCCACUUUAUGGGGCAAAGAGAGAGAGCCCUCUGGAAUUGUCGGCUUCAGCCAGUUCCUGGGGCCCCGAGGCCUGGACGAGGAGCUUGGGUUUUAGUCCAGGAUGGAUAUAUGACUGGGUUCGACAGAGAGGACCUUGACCUCACCCCUCUGCCGCUCUCCUGACUUCCAGGGUCAGAAGCCUGGUGCCCGUGGGGAGGAGUAGCCCACUGCUUCAUGCCCUUCCUUCGUCUGGGCCACCAGAACUACAUUGGCAAAGGACACCCAAAACUGCCUGUUCCCCAAUACAAGGUUUUUAUCAAGUUUUUCAGGCUUUGUCUUGCUGGAGCUCCGGGGUUUAAUGCUAGAAUCUCUCCAUUCUUAAAACUCUCUCCGUGGCUUCUGCCCACUUCCCAGGAGGAGCUCAGACGAGCGGGCUCAUCCUCUGCCGAGUGUGACCUUAAGGGCCUCAGUUAGUGCAGCAAGGAGACUUAACACGGGACUCCGGACAUCGUAAGGUGGACAUUCCCAAGAAUCAAGUCAGCUUCCUGAUCGCCCACCUCCGACGUCUCCUCCCAGACUCUUCCCUCUCUGUGUUAAUGGCCACUAGCAUCCUCUCGUGAUCCAGGCCAGACACCUGGCAGGGAUCCUGUCCUCCCUGCCUCAGCCCCACACCCUGAGAGUCAUGGUCCCACAGCUCCACCUUGUCCCUCUCUGCCACUGCCCCCUCACGUUGCCCCGGCCCUCGCCAAGGCCCAGCACCCCCAGCUCUGCCAUGACCUCCUACCUGGGCGCUCAACCUCCCGCCACCCCUCCCUGCCUGGGCCGACUCUGCUAGGGAGAGCUCCCUAACGCACAGACCUGAUGAGCCGGGCCCUUCUGGACCUCCCUCAGUGUGUCCCCACCACUCACCAAGGCAGGUGAGAGGAACAGUCCGCUCUUCCCCAUCUUCCACCUCACACACCUGCCGCACCAUCGAGACCUGCGUGUGGGGCCCUAAGAGCGUCCUGUUGUUUCUGCCCAGGGCCCUUAUCUGGGCCGUGGCCUCUGCCUGGAAUGUGCUUCCCACCCUCAUUGGCCUACAGGACACCCAUCCACCCUUCAAGAACACCACAGGGGAUAUCGCCUGACCCCAGACUGGACUAGGUGCGUCUGCUCUGUGGCCCUACGUACCCGAUACCCCAUAUAAAAACACCACUGUGGUCUGUACUAUCUGAUUACAGCCACGCCCUCCCACUAGCUGAGCUGAUUUGGGACCUGGGACUGUGUGUUAUACAACUUUUGGGGACCCUGUCCCCGAGUUUCAUGCCUGGCACAAGUGGGUACUGAAUACAAUUUUGUCAGUGGCAGCCAAACUAAACGGCAGGAUGCUUUGGAAGGAGGUUGGCCAGUGAGCAAGGGGACACACCAAGGUAUAGAUGACCAAGUUCAACCAAGAGAAUUCUCCUUCCCCUGAGGAAGUCUUCUGAAACCAGGAGGUAUCCCUGAUUCAGCAGGGACAGGCAGACAGGACCCCCACUCACACUCCCUGGGGAGCUUCUCGCCAAGGACCUCGUGCUCCAAGGAGGUGUCAAACCAGAGGUCAGAAUGGCCAGGUCAGUGGAGAAAGGCAGGAGGUGUGGGGGCCCUUGGGCGGCAGGACUUCCCACCUAUUAGAUAAACAGGGGACACAGCCACAAGCUGUGGGAGAGGAAACAGGCAGAUCCAGAGAGGGACACCAUGGGGCUACAGGCUCCUGUCUCCUCAGCAAGCUGGUGCUGAGGGAGCCUGAGGGCUGCAACACCCAGGUGCAGUGCGUGGUCCACAUCAGACUCUGGAGUCAGGACCUCUGGAGAGAUGUGAAUGCAAAGUGAUGUUAGGGUUUACCAAGAAGUUACUAGUCAUAAUUUGAUACUAUAAUGUUAUUUUAACUAUGUAGGAAAAUAAUCUUAUUUUUUAGAGACACAUUCAGAAAUAUUUAGGGAUAACAUAUUAUGGGACCUGUACCUCAGUUUAAAAUAUCUCAGUGUAAAAUAUAUAAUGAGUUUAAGGGCCAAUGCUACUGUGAGAAACUGUAAGUUAGACACACUGUGAAUUUACAGCAAUUAUCCUAGGAAAAUUUCAACGGUUGAGCUUGUGCUGAUGAUUGAACAGAUUCCCGUUGUGAUGUCUGUGUUCUGUGUUCAGGUCGAAUCGUCGAUAGCUUGUCAUAUGAAGAGCUGUCAGGUGUGAGUGAAGUCUGCAUGUCCAGUCCUGAUGGUUUCCAUGAUGAGGGAGACCUUGGCUGUCUGGGACCUCGUGUGCAGUUAAGGAGCGUCUUGAGAGUUAGCCAAGGAAGGGGUCCUCAUGCCUGAGAAGUGACGCAGCACUGAAUGAAGCAGGGCUUGGUGUGGCAAGGACCAAAGGUGCAGCGUGCCCGCUUCCUUGAAGGGCAACUCAGGAACAGAACCAGAAUCUGGGCUGGUUAGAAAUGCAAGAGUCCAAACCAGCCGCUAGAGCAGCUCAUGGGGAUGCGAAACGGGCUCCACACAGAAAUCUGGCUGCUGCCUGUCUGCUGUGGCCUCCCCUCCCCAGGGCCUACGACACUGUGCAGUUAGGAUCACAGUUGUAAAAACAACCCUGCGACCGUGCUGGUGUGCUGGAGCCAGGGUGUGCAAGUGUGCAAGCGUGUGUGCCAGGAUAUCUGGCCCACAGCCGAGCAGGGCUGGCGAAAACUGAGAGCUGACCGUCCAAGGCCCCUACCGUGAGGCAGAGAGGACCGGUGAGAGGCAGACCCACGCGGGAAUUGAUCCUUAGGGAAAAUGGCAUUAUAUAUCUCUCUGUGUGUGGAGGUACCACCACGUUCCUCUUUACUGUGUAUAAAAAAAGUCGUGUCUUUGUUCAAAUAGCAUUUUUAAGGUUUUUAUUGGUGCAUUACGAUUAUACAAAAUAGUGGGGUUCGUCGUUAUAUAUUCCUACAUGCACACAAUGAUAACACUAUAGUUUGCUCCACUUCUUUCCCCACUAACUCUUGUCCCUCCCUCUGGUCCCCUUCCUCUACUCUACUGGAUUCCCUUCUAUUUUCAUGAGAUCCCACAUACACAGUUUUCUCCCCCUUUUCUUCACUCUACCUUCCACAUAAGAGAGAAAACAUAUGGUCCUUGACUAUCUGUGUUUGGCUUGUUUCAUUUAACAUAAUGCUCUCAAGUUCCAUCUGUUUUCCUGUAAAUGUUAGUUUCAUUCUUCUUUAUGGCUGAAUGAAGCUCCAUUGUGUAUAUAGACCACAUUUUCUUUAUCUGUUCAUCCACUGAUGGACCCGUAGGCUGGUUCCCUAAUUUGGCUACUGUGAAUUUUGCUGUUAUAAGUAGUGGUGUGCAUGUAGUGCUUUAGUAUGUUGACUUAAGUUCUGUGGGAUAAAUAUGGAGGAGUUGUACAGACUGUCCCAUUUCAAGUCUUUUGAGGAAUCUCCAUAAGGAUUUCCAUAGUGGUUGUACUAAUUUACAAUCCCACCAAUAAAAGUGUUCCUUUCCCCCACAUCUUUUCCCACGUUUAUUAUUAUUUGUAUUCUUGCCAACUGCCAUUCUAACUGGGGUGAGAUAAAAUCUCAGUGAGUUUUGAUUUCCAUCUUCCUAAUUGCUACAGAUGUUGAUCAGCUUUUAAUAGAUUUGUUGGCCAUUUGCAUUUCUUCUUUUGAGAAGUGUCUGUUAGUUCAUUUGCCAUUUAUUGGUGGGGUUCUUUGUAGGGCUUUUUUGGGGUUAAGUUUUUGAGUUCUUUAUAUAUUCUGGGUAUUACUCCUUUGUCAGAGAACAGAUGGCAAAGGUUUUCUCCCAUUCUGUAGAUUCCACUUUCUCUUCUUGCUCUUGUUUCUUUUGCUGUUCAGAAGCUUUUUAACUUGAUGCCAUUCCACUUAUUAAUUCUUGGCAUUAUUUCCCAAGCUGUAGGAGCCCCAUUGAAGAAGACUGUACCUGUACCUAUAAGAUGAGUGUUGACCCUACAUUUUUUUCUAGCAGUUGCAAAAUUUUGGGUCUAAUUCCUAGGUCUUUGACCAUUUUGAAUUGGCUUUGGUGCAGGGUAAGACAUAGGACUCUUGUUAAAUUCUUCUACAUAUGAAGAACCAGCUGUCUCAGUGCCAUUUGGUGAAAAUGCUGUCUUUUCUCCAGUGUAUCCUUUUGGUACGUCUGUCAAGGAGGAAAUGAUGGUAUCUGUGAGGCUUUGUUUCUGUAUCUUCUAUUCUCUAACAUUGGUCUGUUUUUUUGUUUGUUUGUUUGUUUGUUUAUGCCAGUACCAUACAGGGGUUUUGUUUUGUUUUGUUUUUACUAUAGCUCUGUAGUAUCAUUGGAAGUCAGGAAUUGUGAUGAUUCUAGCAUUGUUUGUGUGGUUGGUUGGUUGGCUUUUUUGCCUUAAAAUUUCUUUGGCUAUUCUGGGAAUUUUACUCUUCCAAAUGAAUUUUAGGACUAUUUUUCCUAGUUCUAUGAAGAAUGUCAUCAUUAUUUUAAUGGGGAUUAAAUUGAAUCUAUAGACUGCUUUGGUAGUAUGGCCAUUUUAACAACAUUACUUCUGCCUGUCCAUGAACAUGGGAAGUCUUUCCAGCUUUUAGUGACUUCUUCCCUGUCUUUCUUCAAUGUUCAAUUUUUGCUGUAGAGGUCUUUCUCUUCCUCAAUUAGAUUUAUUUCUAGCUCUUUUUUGUUUAUUUAUUUUGAAUGCUAUUGUGAAUGGAAUUGUUUUCCUGAUUUCUUUUUUUGGCAAAUUUAUUAUUGGUGUGUAGGAAAGUUAUAAAUUUUUGUAUGUUGAUUUUGUAACCUGAUACUUUGCUGAAUUUGCUUAUUAGCUCUUCCAGUCUUCUGGUGGAACUUUUUGGAUCUUGCAAGUAUAAGAUCAUAUCAGUUGCAAAAGGCAAUAAUUUGAUUUUUUUCUUUUCUAUUUGUAUCCCUUUUAUUUCUUCCUCUUGCCUAAUUCCUCUGUCUAGAACUUCAAAUACUCUAUUGAAUAAGAGUGGUAAGAAUAGACAUCAUAUCUUGUUACUGACUCUAGAGAAAAUGCUUUCUGUUUCUCCCCAUUCACUAUGGUAUUGGUUUUGAACGUGUUGUACAUUGUCUACAUUAUGUUGAGGUAGCUUCCUUCUAUUUCUAGCUUCUUUAGUGUUUUUAUCAUGGAUGGAUGCUUUUGCCAAAGGCUUUCUCUGCAUCUAUUGAGAUGACCAUGUGAUUUUUUUUUUGCCUUAAUUCUAUUUAGGUGGCAAAUUAAAUUUAUUGAUUUGCGUAUAUUGAACUAUAAAUUUUUUAUUUCAGAAACUAUAUACCAGGGUUUAAAUUAUCAAACAUUGUGAAUAUUAUAAAGGUUUUAUUUUCAAAGAAUGUCAUUUAUCAAACUAUUAAUGCUGCAAAUGUCUCCAGAGCUAACAAAUACCACACAACUGGAGCUGAUUGUAUAGAAUAGACCAAACAAGCUUAUUUCCAGUGUAAACCAAAGCUUAAAAAAAAUGGGAGGGUGGGGCUGAGGGUGUAGCCCAGUGGUAGAACACUUGGCUAGUAUGUACAGGGCCCUGGGUUAGGUCCCCAGCACCACAAAAGAAAUUAAUUUCAUAUAUUUCGAAAAGCCAGCAAUGCUUGGGUCCAAAGGAAACCAGGGAAUGCAUGAAGAAAUAUUCCUCCUCAUCAUGAAAAAUCACUAAUGAUUAUUCAAGCCCUUAAUUAGAGUAUUUAGUUAACAUUCAAAAGAGCCCAAGAAAAGACAUAUUUGAAACCCAAUUUCCCGGUUCCCGGGAGGACAUAAUUAUAUUGCACAAAAUGGCUGUCAGGCUUCCCACUACUGGAAGGAAGGGGCAGUUCUGAGAAGCAAUAUGAGUGGGCUGGCACCUAUGUGUACCCCGCAAAGUCUGUCCCUUCUUCAUAGCAUCCUUUCAGAUAUCCCAAGUUCAGGGUCAGAUCUCCUGUGAAUCUCCCAAAAUUCUCCAUUCAUUUGUCACCCAACCUGGCUGGCUGUCCCCUCCCUAUCCUGAUAAUUAUCCAACAGAAAUAUCACUCAGGGAAGGGUGGCAAUGGAGGCUUUAUGUGGUCACUUAGCAAAUUUAGAGUUUUUCAACAUGAGGACUAUUUUCCUGUAGCCCCAGCUGGGGACAGGCGCUAGUCUCUAGAUGUCCGUAUCACCAGGGAACACCUCUCAAGUGACUGACAUGAGUCCUGGUAGAAAAGCAACAGUGAUGGGACAACAUGGACCGUUCAAAUGUCCACAGUGGAAGGGCUCCUGGAGAACAAUUUGUCCCAACCUUCUCUUACCAUCGGGAGGAAACAUGAGGGCCAGACACAGGAGAAGGUCAGCCAUGUAUGGAACGUAACUGAGAUGGAGCUAGGAGCUCUUCUGAUUCCCAGUCCUCUGGCUCCAAUCACAUCAGAGCCUUGACUUUUCACAAAACAAUCUGAAUCUAACAGUCAAUCUGGAUCCCCCGAGAUCCUUGUCCCUGCUGCACCUUCCUGGGACGAACAGCUUUUGUACGCCUGCUUCCUGUCUGUUAAAUGAAGAUAAUGAUGAUUUCCCAGGGUUGUGGCAAUGGUCUUAAAGGGAACAUUAGAUGUAUUCUCACACUGCACGUCAUCAAUGAGGAGUGAGUGGGUAUCAUCAACUCAUCAUCAUCAUCAUCGUCAUCUCUGUCAUUAAGAGACUCAAGGUCACAGAGCAACAGCUUCAUCAAUGUAUUAAACAACUGAGCACCUCCCAGACAAAUCUUGAGGGUUAAAGGCCUGUCUGUCUGCUCUCCUUCAGGGAUUCCAGUCAUGUAUAUCUGAGGCCACACAGUGUCUCACAAUGUCUCACGACUCACCCUUGUUCUGUUUGGUCUUGGGGAUUUUUUUUCUUUUUUGCAUCUCAUUUUGGAUGGCUUCUAUUGCUCUUUCUUCAAGUUCACUAAUAUUUUCUUCUGCAACAUCUAAACUGCUAUUACUCUUGUGCAGUCUAGUUUUUAUCUCAGAUAUUUCCUGUUGACUUAUUUUUCUGUCUUCUUGAACGUAUAGAAAAUACCUACAACAGUUCGAGUGUCCUUGUCUACCCAUUCUGCCAUCUGUUUGAUUUCUGGAUCUGUUCUUGUGGAUUGACAGUUUUCUUCUCUGUGGGCUCCGCCUCCCUGCUUCUCCACAUGGUCGGCGCAGCUAUUACAUGGCUGAAAGACACUGUGAAUUUUACCCUCUUGGGUGCUGGAUAUUUUUAUAUGUUUUUCAAAUGUUCUUGAGUUUUUAUUCUGGACAUUGGUUAAGUCAUUUGAAAGCAGUUUAUUUUUUCCAAGGCUUACAUGGGGUUCCUUAGUUGAGAUCAGAGCAAGCUCAAGUCCUGGCUAAUUAGACCUAUUGCUACUACGAAGACCAUAACUUUCUUAUACUCUAGGCGAUGUCCCAUGUCUUACAGGAUUUCCCCUCUGGCUGGUGGGAACAGAUAUUCCUGAUAUAUAUUCCUGAUCUGUGUGAGCUCUGAGGAUUAUUAUGCCCAGUGCUUCAAGGGAUUCUAGCAGUUUCUUUGUGCAAAUGCGGCUCUCGUUUUCUGUAGACACUGAGGAAGGAGAGCCUCUGCAGGUCUCCAGCCCUCUCUGCAGCUGUCCCUCAGACUCUGCCUUGGAAGCCUGAGAUUCCCAGGCCACCUCCCCCUCACAAGGGGUCCACCAGCCUCCACCUGGGCUGAGCCCCACUGCUAAAGCUGGGAGAUCCCCCACCACCCCAGCAAUAAGCAGGAGAGCACCCAUCUUUUCUCCUGGACACCUAUGCUGGCUGCCUGCUGCUCUGGUCUGAAAAGCACUGUACAUAUACAUUGUGUCCUGGUUUUCAGUUGUUUAAGGUGGGGGUGAACGUGGUCCGUGUUGCUCCAACAUGGCUUAAACUUGAAGUCAGUCCUGCUUAGACUUUUAGAGCUGAGCUGUUCUUCCUCACUAGGUUAGGAUCUCAGAGGACCAGGGAUCCAGUAGUUACUGGAUGCUGGGGGCAUCUUUUGAGCCCUGAUUAGGGCUAGUCCACCAGACUUGGCCAUGUGAGAAAGGAACCAAGUCUCUUGGCACAGGCCAGUGGGGGUCAGGGGUUUCUAACAUGUAUCUUAAGUGAUCCACCUUAAUAAUUUAAAAUGCACAGGAACAACCUCAUGUGCUUGCAGAACUGGGGCAAAGGUCACAGAAAACAAUCUGUUGUAAAAAGCUGUCCCCACUCCUUCAGGCCUGUAUACUGUAGGUACUGAGGAAAUGCGUCUCGGUCCUGUCCUCAGAUAACUGCUUCUUGAUCCAGCCUUCAGAGCUGAUCCAUUCUCUCUCCCGCCAUCCCUCAAGUUCCCCUUUCUUUCCAGCAGGUAGCUGGUCUGGUCCUGGGGCCCUCUGAGCAGAACCAGGCUUUACAGUUAAUAUCCCGCAGCCUCUGAUUGCAGCUUUCAGAGGUGUAACAUUUGAUAAGCUCCAUUUAGCUUGGCGGGGCUGCAUUGUUUAAAUUAUUCAAAGACAGAUUGCUCGCUCCACCCCCCCCUCCAGGGUUUCUGCUCUGCUGAGCCUGCCGGCAGCACGUUACCAGGAAAUAAGGCGGGGAGUCAGCAGGCAGUUUCUCACUGCCCUGAAAUCAGUUCCAGCCGUUGUUCUACACCCAUCACACCCCAUUAUUCCUUGCUAAUUGCAAGCCUGGUAUGCAAGUUAACUCUUUGAGAACAAUGCUGGCUUUGAUUGCUGGGGAGACACAGUGAGCCUCCCACCUCCUCCUGCCUCCCCUCCCCCUCUGUCCCCAGCUGACUGACUGUCUGGGAUUCAGCAAGUCAAGGGGUGGGAAGAAAUCUGAAAAUCUGAGGUAGAGCUGGUUCCCCAGGCAUUCCGAUUGGGCAGGUGGAUACAGCCAGUUGGGUCCCAGCCUAAGGCUGGAGCAGCCUCAUCUCUAACUGGUGUUGGACAACCCAGUCUUGCUAUUGUGUCCAGCCAUCCGCAUGGCACCUAGAGGGUGUGCAGGCUGGGCCCUGGCUCAGAACAAGCCAUCACCUCCUGGUCCAGGGAGCCCUCGCCACUGCCCUUGGACGUGGCCUCACUCCUUCUGCACCUGAGCUGUUUGCUCCCUACACACGGAAUGAUUGUCACGGUCAUCUGGCAGUGGUCACGAAGAACUAUUCUUCCAGGGAUCCUUUUCAUCAUCGACUUAGAACAAAUAAGAAUAAUUCUAAGAGUUGGUUGGCCAUCAAAGCCUAAAAUAUGUGCUCUCUGGUCUUUUACAGGAAAAAGGCUGCUGGCCCCUCCCCUAGAAUCUGAAUUAAGAGACGGAGGCAACUCGGUGUCUGGACCUUGAAGACAAUGUGUGAGCCUGUCUUGGCCUGGAUCCUAGACCAGAAGAAGACAUGGCUGGAACUGCACUGAAGGGGACCUGCAGAUGGGACAGUAGAGUCACCGUGUCACUUCCUUGAUUCUCAUCAUUGCACUGUGGUUCUGCAAGGGAGACAUAUGGGGAAUUGUACUAUUUUUGCAACUUUUUUGAAAGCCUGAAAUUGUUUUGAAAAAAACAGAUACAUUUGGGGGAGGAAAAAAAAAAAAACAUGGGGCAGGCGUAGUGGCUCAUGCCUGUAAUCCCAGCAACUCAGAAGGCUGAGGCAGGAGGAUGACAAAUUUGAGGCCAGCCUUGGCUACUUAGUGAGACCCUUUCUCAAAAUAAAAGGGGCUGUGGAUGUAGCUCAGUGGAAGAAUGCCCCUGGGGAGGGCCUGGGGAGGGUGGCUUUUAGGUGGGGUGGAAUUGGGAAAGGAGCACUUAGACAGAUGGUCACUUCCCCAGAGGGCCUGAGGGUGAGCUGGGGAUGCAUGCAGCAGUCCAAAGAAUGCAGGCUUUGGCAAGGACGUGGAGUGAACAAGGACGGGGUGGCUGUGCGGUAGAAGGUUAGUCUCCAGGGGCUGCCUACCAUAAAGCCUAAAGCCUCAGUGAACUCACUAACCUCAUGAAAUAAGUGCCAAUAGAUUUCCUGUGUAGGAAGCGAAGGGUCCAAAGUCAGGCUAACUGGCAGGAGGGCAAACAGUGGACCCACCUGGAUGCAGGAGCAGAUAAGGACCCUAAGGAAGUAAGGCUGGCCCUUUUCAGGGUGGCCCAGGCUGAGCCACAAGACCAGAGCCAAGUUCACCUAAAUUGCCACAGGCCAGAGGCCCCAAGAGUGAGUUGCCCUCUCAGGGGUGACCCCUGUCUACUCCCUUGCCCCCAGCCUGAUGACCAACAGGGUCUCUGAUGCUGGCCCCUCCAAGCCCAGCAGUGCCAUGGUCACACUGCCACUCCUGUGCUUGGGCUUUUACCAACCUCAGGGCUGCUAACCAGAGCUGGGAGGGCCACUGGCUGGGCAGUAAGCAGCAUGCUCCAUGAGUAGACUGGGCACAUUAGUAACUAAGAAGAGCAGAAAGCUCCUGCCGCAGCAGAAGUACCUUUAAGCAAGAGAAGUUGCGAGGAGGCCCGAGGAUCCUUCUCAGGAAAAUGGUGCAGUCAGAGAGGACAGCCAUGAGCACGCUCCAGAGGGCCUGACUGGCCAGGGGCCAUCCGUGUGGGAUGGCAGGAAGGCCUCUGCCCAGUUCCCAUGGUCACUCCCAGCCCAGGACUCAGUGCAGCAGGGACACCAGGCAGACCAGGCGGCCAGCGGGAACAGAGUCCCUUGCUGCUUGACCAAACCUGCCUGUGACUACCCAUCUGUCUAGAGAUUCCACAGGACCUUCUCUCCUCGUCUUCACCCAGGUCAAACUUGUUUUGCUGACUGGCUUCUAGCCUCCCCAGCCCUCCCCAUUUUCUCUCACACAGGCAUGACCAUGACGCACAUUAUCAGCACAUCUCAAACACGCAGAGGAAAUUCCUUACUUUAAUUCCAUCCGGGUCUCUGCUAUUUAGAGUGAUCUCCCCUGGAGUGACUCGCCCAGUUCUGCUCUACUCUAAGGUUCCUCUAAGAUAACCAAUCCCCUGCCCCACGGUCUCCCAGAAGGAGGGGACAGGAUAUGCAGCAAGGCCUUUUAAUUUUCCAUAAUUUUAAUAUGUUUCUUUUUAUUAAAAUUAAAUCUUUUUAUAGCUUUAUUUUAUUCAUUUAUUUUAUGUGGUGCUGAGGUUUGAACCCAGGGCCUCACAGAUGCUAGGCAAGUGCUCUACCACUGAACCACAACCCAGCCCAAUAUGUGUGUUUAAAAUCUAAAAUAUAGGGGCUGGGAUGUGGCUCAAGCGGUAGCGCGCUCACCUGGCAUGCGUGGGGCCCGGGUUCAAUCCUCAGCACCACAUGCAAACACAGAUGUUGUGUCCGCCAAAAACUGAAAAAUAAAUAUUAAAAAAUUCUCUCUCUCAAAAAAAAAAAUUAAAAUCUAAAAUGUCUAAUUCCUGGAAUAUAACCUUUACUUUGACUGUAAGGUGGUCAAACACCCACUGUAGAGGGAAAAAAACCAUCCUACAGUUGAUUUCUGAUUUAAAUUUCCUACCAGCUGAGGUGGUAAUCACUUCUGAACUAUUUAGUGGCCAUGUCUUUAAAGGUCGUAUUGGACAGUUGCUGGAGGUCAUAUGUAAGGAAAAGCAUCCUCCUCCUCCUCCUGCCCAAAACAUAGAUGCAUAAACCUCAGAAUCAGGAUUCAUGAGAAGCCAGAAAUCAUGGUGGGACACUAACAGGUUGAGUCAACGUCCAUCUCAGUAAGUUGCACGAGGCCUCAGUGUGCAGAUGUCAAAGACAUACAGUUUGCAGACUGGCUUUACUUACGUCCACAAAAUAAGUGUAUGCAGGGUGAGUCUGUUCAUGACUCGGGGAGCUGCUUCAGAAACAGCAUGACUGACAUGGAAAGGGGAAUGAUGGGAAGAGGAACUGAGAAAUGGGAGAAAGGAAGAUCAGAGAGGAGUCCGCCCUGGGUUCUGUGAGCUGGUCCACUUCCAGGACUGGCAUCUGGGUCCUGGCAGGACUAUUGACUCCUUAAUGAGAGAGCCCCUCAAGGAUCAAUUUCCAGACAAAACUGUCCCAGAUGCCCCCAUGUCACCCAGAUGGGUGGAAGCCAUCAACCCACAGGGAGAAUCUUGCUCUCUGAUGAGAGAAACGCUUGGAAAACUAUCCACCCCAAGGGUGUGAGAGACACCAGAGGGAGGCAGUGUGAAGUGUGGUGUGGGUCCUGCCCAGGAUUGGUUCCCAGAGAGGACACUGGCAUGGGGCUCAGCUGUCCCCUCGCUGAGUGCCCAGCGGCUCUCUAAGAGCAGCCAAGGACGUGGAGAGCCAGGGCAGCUCGGGAGCCUGGGAGCGGGUGGACCCUGCCUGGUGCCUUGAGUUAGGAAACCAGGUCAGAGAGCUUCCAAGCUACUAGGUGAAGAGCUGGCAUUAGAAGGCGUCUGCAGGCACCACGCGGGUGUCCUGACACCUGUCCCUCGGCGCCCAUCGAGAAGGCCUUUCUGGCUCCUGGCCUCAGCGGCUCUGGCAGCCCUCAUUUCCUCUGCUGGGUUUGGGGCUUAAAGCUGCCCAAGUGAGGAGCUCAGAUCUGCCUUUGCGUGAAGCAGCUCUUUAAAUGCAUUUUUCAGCACGACUCCCUGCAAGACAUAGACGUUCAACUGCACGUGUGCGCGCGCGCGCACACACACACACACACACACACACACACACACACACACGGUCCGGGCUUCACAAACAGCGCUCGCUCUGACGGCUCUCCAGGCACUCUGCCGUUCUCUCCCACUGUCUCCUCUUUCCCUUUCUCCAUCAUGGUUAAAAACAAAAACGCUGCUUGGGAUUGGAUGAGCACUGGCUGAAAGGAGCGUCACCACUCUGGGGGUCCAAGGGGCCCUCUGAGAAGGUGGCAGGUCCCUGCACAUGGUCAUCAUCCCACCUUUCUGAGGAGGCUGGAAUUGUGUCCCAAGGAGGUCCCCACGGUUCCCCUGGGUCAUACCACUGCACCAAAACGUCAUGCUCAGACACCCGCGCGGUGUCACAGUCAGGGUGACUCUCAUGGGCUUACACUGAAUGCCUCGCUAGGAAACCCCAAGAGCUACAUGGCCAAAGAGUGAGUGCUAUUCCUACUUCGUUAACUGCUAGGAAAAGUAAAGCUUGAACUAUGUAGGUGACUUGUCCAAGGCCAACUGCAGCUGGCAGGGUCAGAGCAAGGAGCCCAGGGUCUCAUGAUGCUCUAUGUACCGUGCCCCGCCCUUCCACAAGGCUGAUGGAAGCCCUUGCCGUCUCCACCUUUGGAAGUCUCAUCUGGUCCCCAAGCUCUGGACCAACAAGGUCCUGAAUACGGGAAAUUUCUUUUUUUAAAAAAUAUUUUUAUUUUUUAGUUGGAGUUGGACACAAUACUUUUAGUUUAUUUAUUUUUAUGUGGUGCUGAGGAUCGAACCCAGGGCCUCACACUUCCUAGGCGAGUGUUCUACCCCAGCCCCUACGAGAAGUUUCUAACAGUCAUCUUACAUCAAAUCAUCCAGCUGGAUGCCCCUGUGACAUGAGCUUCGACCAGAGUUGGCUUCCACGAAGUUCAUGAGCCAGUGUUCAAGAUUUAGAGAAAACAGUGGACUGCUCAAGACAUACUAGGAACAUCCACGGUGCCCGCCACUCUGCCGGGGGAUUCUCCUAGGCUGCUGUGGCCAGGACUGGUUGCAAAGCCCUCCAACACACUUGACCGAAGACAAGUUUAAUGUCUUGGAGUUUAAUGUUUUUAUUAGUUGUGUUUGUGGCUUCUUCAAAAUACUGUGUAGCUGCUGGCACCACCCCAGCCCCACUGCAAGAACCUCCUCCCCAGCCUCCACUCACCAGCAAGCUGCACCCCGCACCCAGGGAUUGCCCCCCACCCCGCCCUCAUCCAUCAAACAGGCCGCUGUCUGCAGACGUUCCGGGAUUUGUUGUAUUUGGGAUUAAGGGGGGGCGGGUAAAAUUAAUAAGGUUUCUAUAAAUAUAACUUCUCUGGCUCUUGUUAAAACUCUGGGUCACAGGAAAUCUCUGGUUUCAAACGGCUCUAUGCAGAGUGGCCCUGUUUACUUGAAACGUCUCGCCAAGAUCUAGCUUUGCCCCAUUAAUACUAAAUAAAUAAUUUCCACAGAAGCUAUUUUUUGGUCCUCUUUGCCAAAAAAUUUGAGAAAAGGGGCCAGCACAGAAGCCUCACAUGCGUGUUUCAUAUAAAAACCACAGGAUCAGUGGGGACCUUAGUUGUGUAAACUGUUUCAGGACAGAUGAGACUCAGCUGGUGACCCAAGUCAAGCAGAGCACCCAUGGGGCGCUGGUCCCAGCUCCCACCCGAGAGCAGAUCCAUGAGCUUCACACCCGUCCACUCUUCCUAUGUAAGCCACUCUCUCAGAGGGUCCAAGGAAUGUAGAUAGGCACCUGAGGAGUAAAUGGCUUGUGAUCUAGUAGGGUUGCUAAAUUGGCAUAUAAAAUACAAGAUGCCCAAAAGGAACUGAAUAGACACUUCACAGAAGAAGAAAUACAACUGAUCAACUGAUAUAUGAAAAAGUGUUCAACAUUUCUAGCAAUUAGAGAAAUGCAAAUCAAAACUACACUGAGAUUCCAUCUUCAAUUACAAUGUCAAUCAUCAGGAAUACAAGCAACAAUAAAUGUUGGUGAGGUUGUGGGGGAAUAGGUGCAUUCAUGCUUUGCUGGUAGGACUGCAAAUUGAUGCAACACUCUGGAAAGCAGUGUGGAGAGUCCUCAGGAAACUUGGAAUGGAACCACCAUUGGACUCAGUCAUCCCACUCCUAAGUUUAUUCCGCAAAGACUUAAAAUCAGCAUACUACACUGAUGCAGCCGUAUCAAUGUUUAUAGCAGCUCAAUUCACAAUAGCUCAACUAUGGAACCAACCUGUGUGCCCUUCAACAGAUGAAGGGAUAAAAAAUGUGGUAUAUAUACACAAUGGAAUAUUACUCAACUUAAAAAAGAAUGAAAUUGUGGUAUUUGCUGGUAAAUGGAUGAAACUGGAGAAUAUUAUGCUAAGCAAAAUAAACCAAUCCCAAAGAACCAAAGGCCAAAUGUUUUCUCUGAUAGGAGGAUGCUAAUUCACAAUAAGGGGUUGGGGAAGAAUAGAGGUAUUUUGGACUAGACAGAGGUGUGUGAAGGGAGGGACAGGAGUAUGGGGGUAGGAAUGAUAGUAGAAUGAAUUGGACAUUAUUACCCUGUGUGCAUAUGAUUACAUGACCUGUGUACCUCUACAUCAUGUACAACCAGAUGAAUGAGAUGUUAUACUCCAUUUAUGUAUGAUGUGUCCAAGUGCAUUCUACUGUCAUCUAUAACUAAUUAGAACAAAUUUAAAAAAUAAGAAAUGAAAAUAAAUAGAAUAAAAUACAAGAUGCCCAGUUAAAUUUGAUUUUCAGACAAAUGACAAAGAAUUUUCAGUAAAAGUACAUCCUGUACAACAUUUGAAACGUACUUAUGUUCAUUUAUUUUAUGUGGCUUAUCUGAAAUCCAGAUUUAAUGGAGCAUCCUGUGUUUCUCCGGGCAGGGCUCUGAGGCCUCUCUCCUGGCAUGCAGAGGCUGUCUUCUGAGUCUCCCCCUGAUCUCUCUGUGCGUGUCCUAAUAUCUUCUUUUUCGCCUCCCUUUUUGCAGCGCUAGGGACCAUACCCAGGUCCUCAAAUGUGCUAGGCAAGCGCUCUACCACUAAGCUACACCCCAGCCCGAGAUUUCCUCUUUCCAGGGUAGCAGUCGUAUUGUGUUGGGACUGGUCCUAAUGACCUCAUUUUAAUUUACCACCUCUUUAAAGACCCUGUCUCCACACAACCAUAUUCUGCGGGAACUUCAGCAUCUGCCAUGGGGGGAGGGAGCACAGGUGGCCCACAGCAGGAAGGGGGUAAGUGUGGCAUCCACCAGCACUGCCCAGAGCUGACCACUUGUCGCUGUCUCAUAGCCACUGGCUUCACAGGCAAGAAGACAGAAGCGCCUUCCCACAGGCCAGGCCAGGCAGCCAGCUGGAUCUCUUGUCCCUAAAAAAGAGAAGCCUCCAUUUAUCAAGUAACUGCUCCACGGCAGGUGCUUUCCACAUGGUGCCCCACUGCAUCCUCAAGUGCCCGGCGGGCAGCUGUGUUCUCCUGGCCACAGGAGAUUCAGAGUCAGGGUUCAGUGGGCUCAAAGGCCUGCCAGAGUUCUCAGAGCGCCUGUGACCAAAGUUUAGCCCGACCCCAGGUUGGGCCUUCUGUACAUUGACGUGCCUGUUGGAAAAGCCCAGUCUUCCCCCGAAGGAAGGGUGCUGGCACUAGGGUCCUAGGAAGAGGCUUGGCCCCUGUGUUGCCCAUUUCUGCCCAAACCAGACAGUUCUGCUCCCCCUGCACCAGAGAUGUGCCCGUGGAAACAACAGGUAGCUCAUGGGACACCAGAGCCUCCGGUCAAUAUUUGCCCAGUAAUUCAAGCAGGUAAUAAACAGCUUACAGGUAGCCUCCCUCGCUCCACAUGAGCUUCCUCCGCUGCUGGACAGGGCCCAGCCCCGGUGAGUCUGGGAUCAGGCCUCUUCUCUUCAGCCGGAGGAGCAGCACAUUAACCCCCCAAGGGAGCUGUGAAGAAUUCCGGGCUGAGGCCACCUGUAGACCAAUCAAGUCAGAACCUCGGGGGUGGGACUCACGGUCCCAUGACGUUUCCCCACGGGUGGCCACUGCUGAGAAAAUGCUGCCAUCAACAAGUGCAAUGACUAUUCUUAAUGGUCCUGAGGACAGAACAAGGGGUGGGUGCGGGUGGAGCAUCAGUCAGAGCCCCUCCACCUCCCAUUUCCAGUGCCCCCCACGUGGACCCAAACCCAGGACCCCGUGGAUGUACACACCAAGUCACAUGUACACAAGUGCUCACUUGUACCUACGCACAGGGACUCUUGCUCGAAGCCGUCAAGCCGAGUCAGGCUUCUGUGGUUGGGGAAGCACAGGCCACUGCUGAAGUGUACCCACAGCAGAACCCAGCGUCAGCCCCUCCUCUGGUCAUGUCCAUGGUCAAUUCUGGGAAGGGUGAUGCCGGUGUGCGCCAGCAUGGAGCACCACGGUAAGGGAGGAAGGGGGCCUCACACUUGUCCCACCCCCUCUUUCCUGUGUGAGAAAUGCGCCCAGAGGGGAAGGUGUGUGUCCCAGGGUCGGCCAGCCUGGGCACUGGCCUGCAGAAGGACUGUGUGGGCCAGCACAGUCGUCGACAUGAAUCACCCCCUCCACUCUCCCGAGGAUGUUGGACGUGUCCUCAGAUUCAGCACUCAGCAGCCUUGGGCAGGGGAGCUUCCCAUAAUUUGAGACAUGAAGAGACUGAAGUAAGACUUUUCUCUCCCUUUAUAAAAAUCAUGGUAAAAUACACAUAACAAAGAAUUUAUCAUAUUAACCAUUUUUGAGCAUACAGUGCAGUCACAGUGAGUACAUUCAUAAUGGGCAAACAUCACCUCUUUCCAUCUCCAGAACUUUUUCAUCUCCCCCAAUUUGACCUCUGUACCCAUUAAACACUAACUCCUCCUGCCUUCUCCCUUGGGUUCCUGGAAACCCCUCUUCUGCCUCUAUCUUGGGGUGCCUCACAGAAAUGGAAUCCUACAGUAUCUGUCUCCUUGUGAUUUCCUUCACUUAGUGUAAUGUCUUCACGUCCCAUCCAUGCUGGAGCAUGUCAGAAUUUCCCUCCUUCUAAAGCUGAAUGAUAUUCAUUGUAUGGACAUGCUAUGUGUAUCUGUCCAGUUGAGCACUGAUGGACGCUGGGGUUUCUUCAGCCUGGGCUACUGUGCUGUGAGCAUGGCUUUACAAACACCUCUUUCAGGCCUAUUUUCAGUCCUCUUGGGUAGAUACCCAGAAGUUAGAAUGCCAGUUCACAAGGUAAUUCUGUUAAUUUUUGGAGGAACCACCCUACAGUUUCCCACAGCAUUUGCACAGCAUGCUCGCCCACCAACGGUGUACAUGGGUCUGAUUUCUCCACGUCCUUGACAACAGGUUAUUUUCUGUUUGUUGUUUAGUUGCCAUCCUGAUGGAUGAGAGGUGACACUUGUGGUUUUGACUUUCCUUUUCCUAAAGUUAGGAUCCAAAGUAGCUUCAUGUGUUUCUUAGCUAUUUGUAUAUCUUUUUUGCAGAAAUAUGAAACCCUGGGCUUUGAAAUACCAUGACCCAGGCUGUGGAGCUUGCAGGGCUAAGUUCAUAUCCAAACAUCUACCUGCAGAAACUUGCUCUUAACCACUGAUGUUGAGUUGCCAUGAGGGUUGUUCUCGAAACAGUGCCACAGAUGCAGUAAGUGCUCAACAAAUGUGAGUUAGAACCACCACCAACAUUACUGCAGCAGCUACUAUUGUCACAAGGCUUCCAAGAUAGGCACCAGACAGUUUUGUCUCAGCACUCAGCUGCAAACCCAACACCAUAAACGGGGGGACUAUUGGCAUGGUUGUGGCCAAAGGAGAAGAGAUCAAGGACCAUCAACAAACCAUCGUGGUUUAUUUCCUAUUUCAGCACUUCUCAAAAACUGGACCAUGACUGGCUGGAUCAGAACAACCCAACAGAAGCCAGCACAGCACAGCAGUUCAAGUCAACCCAAGAUGUUGGCUCUAAAUGAGAUCCUGGGUCUCCUUUUCAGACUGACUGGACCAGAUCUCUUGGUGGAGACAUUUGCAGAAUAUGAACCCCCAAGGAAGGUUCACUCAGUUCAACUGAUUAUCUUGGCCCUUUGGUGCUGGGGCAGGGGGCUUGCUCAUGGUGGGAUCCAUCUAUAUCCUUUUGGUUACAGUAAAAAAGAUCUCACACACACAUACACACACACACACACACAAUGAAGGACAACAAGUCCCAAGUCCUCUGCCAGUGUCUUCUAUUCUAAAUUUCUCAUAAUCCUGUAGUAGUUUUACACUGAAAAAAAAAAGAGACAUUUUAAAGCAACUAAAAUUUUUGAGGCACCUAUAUAUAUAUUUUUAAACAACUUCACGGAAGUAAACCCAAUACACAUUAAACUACACUUAUUCUGCCCAUGCACUCUCUACCUUCCCACAAGACCUUCAGCAUCUGAAUAUGUAGAUUUUAAGGAAAGAAAGCAUCUGAGCCCUUUCCUGGUGGGCACUGUUGGCAAAACGCCCUGGUGACAUUGCCCGGAAUAACAGAGCAGGUCUUGGGGGCUGGGAAUAAGUUAGGCAGGCCCAGAGGAACCCAGGCUGUGGCACACACACACCACAGCUGGCCCACAGACAGAGGAGAGGGAUGAGCAGAGGUGGUGUUUUCUCCAUAGGGCCUUCCUCUGACGGCAUCCAGCUUUCAAACUCCUAUUCUUCCCUCAGAACUCACCUCUUCCUCCAGGAAGCCUCUCCACGUCCACACACGCUUCCAAGUCUUGCCUCAAGGCGGUGUCUGUUGGUUGGGGGCAUCUUCUUCUGGGCAUCAAACAAAUUUGGAGGACUUGGAACAUUCUCCUGUCCACCUCCCAACAACGAGAACUGUGGUUUAUAUACCUGCCCCAAACACAAACGUCGCUCUCCUUUUCUAUGAUCCUUCUAAGGAAGACCUCAAACGCCUGGGGCAUGCUGGAUGACCUCUCUGUUGUGCCUAGCUCCUUGGCAGCUGCAGCCUGACACCGGGUCCUAUCCCCAAGUCCUCUGCCAGUGUCUUCCUGGCUGGCCCUGCCACCCAAUCUUGAGCUUAAUGUUUCUGGAAACUGGCCACCAGAGCAGCCCCCCUGGGCCUCAACCUGCAGGGAGAAAACAGUAGUGGGGGGCAGGGGGGGGCAGGACUGAGGAGAGUGGGGUCAGAGUGUUCUUGGGAACCGAACAGCGGCGGUUGCAGGGAGGAGCAACUGGCUCUAUUUCUCUGCUGGCAUUGCAGCUGUGGGUUCUCCCAGCCGGGGGGCCAGGGCAACCACAGCUGCAUCUUGUUAAACACCAGCUGUAUACCAAAGUCAUUUGUGCACAGUAUUCCGUUAUUAUCACUCCUCUGCCAGGUCACCCAGCUCAGAGGAGGCAGCACCAGGAAUAACGUGACAGCAACUUACUCAGAGUCCAGGCCCUUCUCCCCAGCCCUUCCUCACCUCCAAUCCAGACCCAGUGUGUGGCAAAUGCAAACUCCGUGUCCAUCUGCAGGUGAGUGUGGAGCUCUGAGUCCAGGACUUCCGCUCCUUGCUGGGAGCAACGCCCCCCCGCCAACCCCCCACCCCAGGCUUGGGAGAGAGGCCCACUCCUGUCCUGUUGCAGAGCGCAGCAGACGUGAGCCUGCCCGGGGUGUCCUGGUGCCCAGCUCCUACCACAGGCUCCCGCACACCUGUCCCUGCAGCAGACCCAUGGGCAGGCCAACCAGGUGGCUCCCGGGUCUCAGCCCCCUUUCCAUUCUCCAGGGUCACCUUGGUGAUCUGUUCUCCUUCUCGGAAGACCCUUCCUAGCACACCCACUCCCAGAGCUGCCUUGUCACACGUAAUAAAGUGAAAGGAAUUUUGAGUUUCUAAGCAACUCAGCAAGAAGGAGAUAAAAAGGCAGAGCAGGAGGGGGGAAGGAGGGGGGAUGGCUGGGCUGCUGUCCCACCCAAGCCAAGAAAGGCCCUCAGUGCCGAUGCUCCCCUGAGGUGGCCCAGGAAGCCCAGGGCAUUUCAUGUGCUUGCUGUCCCUACUAUCCCCCAGGCCCUCAGUCAAGCCAGCCUCACACAAAAGUGGCCUGUCCCAGAAGCUUUGAGAUGUGAAGGAAGAGGCCUGGCAUUGGCAGGACUGCCCAGGGACAGGCAUAGCCUGGAGCAGCAGCAGGCAGGCACAGGACGGCAGGGGGCUUACAGGAACUGCAGAGAAAGUCCAGACCAAUGGCAGGAACUAAGCCCCUGGAACCCUGCCCAUGUCCUGUGACAGCCCCCAGAAGACUUCUUGGGGAUUCUCCUGGGGAGCUCCUCCCUGUAUUGGAAUCAGAGGAUUAAGUCACAUGCCCAAGGACCAGAGGACUUGUGUCAUAGGGACCACGAGAAGGAAGAGGCGAACAACCCCAUUCUAAGGAUGAGGAGACUGAGGUUUCUGCCCACUUGCUCCAUCCACUCAACUGCACACCCCUCCUCUGGCUUCUCAGAUGGGAGGAGAGGAACUCGGGCUCUUGCCUUCUGCACUGCAGCCACUCCAGCGUCUUGCUCCCUGCCUGAAUCUGCCAGCACUUGUCCCCUCACUCCCUGGAAGAAGACCCUUCUUCAGUCACUCCUGAGGGUGGAAGCCACAGGUCCCUCCCAGCCACCUGAGGACCCAGGCUCAGCUCCUUUGACCUCCCUACAGAUGCCAGUGACGAGGAGCAAGUUCAACCUCGAAUGUACUUCCCCCAGCACUCAACUUCUGCAUGGUUCCUAAUGACCAGAUGUUUUACAUCAUGGAAAAUAAACACCCAGAUGACACUCUACUUCCUGCCGCAUCUUGCCUGGCUCCUGGCGCAGAGCUGUUGGAGGUUGCCCUGCCCUGAGUUCAGUGGGGCUCGGGCACCUGUCUUGCCCCAGCAGAUCGCUGAUGGCCACCAACCCUGGCCUCAGCUUUGCCAGGGCAGGCUCCCAGCCACAGGCUGUCGGGAAUUCUGCACUACUACAAGCAAUUGGUUAAAAUGAACCCUCUGCUCAUUGGCAGACGGUGGGGUUUUCACAGCCACAUUCAACAACUUAAUCAGAGAAAGGUGGUCCCAAAGACACCUCACAUAUAAAAAGUCCCUUCCUGCAAGAACUGGGGUUUUAGGGCCAACAGACCUUCAGAAGGUAUGCUCCCUCUAAAACUCCAAGGCCAAAGGACAUUGCCCUCCUCUUAGAAAUCCUAAGGGAGGAAAAAGAAUUCUCUACAUAUUUCCUAAAGUAUACUACCAAAAAAUGUGGGCUGUGGAGAGCCAGGGACAGAACUAGGGCCUGUUGGAAGGCUACUCUCCAUGAUGUGAAUGCAUAUCUGGGCCACAGAAGGACCUCUAGGUCAAUGACAGGGCCUCUGCGCAUGUGAGAUCAUAAUGAAACUGAAAAUUCCUACUACCUAGUGACAUUUGGGUCUUCAUACAUGUCAUAAUAUUUUGCAACUGCUAGAAGAAAGCACAGGCUCAUCACCCCAAUGUUCAGGCUCAGGCAAUGACUUCCUCCAUAGGACUCCUACAGCUCGGGAAAUAACACAAGAAUCAAUAAAUGGGAUGGCAUCAAAUUAAAAAGCUUCUGCAAAGCAAAGGAAACAAUUAAGAACAUGAAGAAAGAGUCUACCGAAUGGGGGGAAAUUUUUGCUUGUUACUUUUCUGACAGAAGAUUAAUAUCCAGAACAUAUAAAGAACUCCACAUCCAAGAAGCAAACAACCCAAUUAAUAAAUGGGCAAAAGAACUAAACAGACACUUCUCAAAAAAAGAAAUACAAAUGACUGGCAAGUAAAUGACAGUAUGCUCAACAUUAUUCGCAAUCGAAGAAAUGCAAAUCAAAACUAUACUGAGAUUUUAUCUCGCUCCAGUUAGAAUGACAAUCAUCAAGAAUACAAAUAAUAAUAAAUGCUGGUGAGGAUGUGGGGGGAAAGGUGCACUCACACAUCGUUGGUGGAACUUAGAAUUAGUACCACUACUCUGGAAAACAGUGUAGAGAUUUCUCAAAAAACUAGAAAUGGAACCACCAUAUGACUCAGCUAUGCCACUCCUUGGUAUUUAUCCAAAAGAACUAAAACCAGCAUGCUAUCGGGAUAUAGCCACAUCAAUGUUCAUAGCAGCACGAUUCACAAUAUCCCAAUGGAACCAGCCCAGAAGACUGGAUCAAGCAAAUAUACUCUGAAGUUUUGCUUAGCCAUAAAGAAGAAUAAAAUAUGGCAUUUUGGCAUUUUCCUGUAAGUGGAAGAAAAUGGAGAGCAUCAUGCUAAAUGAAACCAACCAGACUGAGGAAAUGAAGGGUCAGAUAUUUUCUCACAUAUGUGGAGGCUACAGAAAAAUAAGGAAAAAGUGGAGUUAUAUAUCAUAAAGAUAUGGGAAAAAUCAGAGAAGUAGAAAAAGGAGAUCAAGAGGGAUAGGCAAGGAGAGAUAAAGCAGAAUAAAUUUAACAAAAUCACAUUACAUGCACAUGUCAACAUGCCACAGAGAAUUUCACGUAUAGGUGUGAUGAAAAGCACCAAUCAGUGGUGGGUACCUGGAGGAGCAAGGGGAGAAUCAGCGGGGUGUUGGGGGAGGAGCUGGGACUGAAAAGGAGUUGAUCAGGUUUCAUACAAGUAUGAUUUUGAACCCAGCUACUGUGUAUAACUAUUAUGCUCCAGUAAAAAAAGUUUCAGUAUAAAAAAUAAACACAGGGCUGGGGCUGUAGCUCAGUAGUAGAGCAAUUGGCUGGCAUGAUGAGGCACUGAAUUCCAUCCUCAGCACCACAUAAAAAUAAAUAAAUAAAUAAAUAAAGGUAUUGUUCAUCUACAACUAAAAAAGUUUUAAAAAUGAACACAAAUUAUAAUAAACGUUGGUGAGGGCAUGGGUGAAAGGAGCACUUAUAAACUGUCGGUGGGAUCAUGGAUUAGUAUAAUCACUAUGGAAACCAGUACAGUAGCUUCUCAAAAGACUAGAAAUGGAACCACAGUGGACCCAGCUGUCCCACUCCUCAGUGUUUAUCCCAAAGAACCAAAUCCACAUGCUAUGGCAAUAUGCACAUACCUGUGUUUAUAGAAGCACAAUUCACAAUAAACAAAUUAUGUAUAAUUAUAAUACACUAAUAAAACAUUUUUAAAAAUAAUAUAACACAUCGCAUUCCUCGGGUUUUGUGGUGGUGUGUUCCACCUGUUGCACAUCCAGAAGCAAAAGAAUUAUAGUUAUACAAUUGCAUAUAGUGUGUGAUACUUGAUGAUAAUAGUGAAUAACCACGUUUCUGAUUUACAUAUUUACUCCACGCUUUUGUCAUUAUUUUUGAGUGUACUCCUUCUACAUACUGCAAAAAUAGUUUGCCAGCAAGAGCCUCACACACCCUGUGUUUAUCCCAUCUCUUGGCUGUAUGGAGAGGCCAUGUCGAGGGUCUGACCUGCACCACUCUGCAGCUGGGAUAUGGAAAGUUCCCCAAAGGAUCAUGUGUGGAGGGCUUGGUCCCCAAUGCAGCAAUGUUCACAAGUGGGGCUUUUGGGAAGUGAUUGGAUCACAAGGGCUCUGAUCUCAUCAGUAGAUUAUCCAUUGAUGGACUUAUUUUACUUUUAUUUAUUUAUUUGGGUGCUGGGGAUGGAACCCAAUGGCACUCUAACACCAAGCUACACCCCAUCCUUUUUUUAAAAUUUUUUUUAGUUGUAGUUGGUACAAUAUCUUUAUUUACUUAUUUAUUUUUAUGUGGUGCUGAGGAUCCAACCCAGUACCUCACACAUGCAAGGCAAGUGCUCUACCACUGAGUUACAGUCCCAGCCCCCAACCUUUUUAUUUUUUAUUUUGAAACAGGCUCUUGCUAAAGUGCUGAGGGCCUGGCUAAGUUGCUGAGGCUAGUCUUGGACUUGUGAUCCUCCUGCCUCAGCCUGCCCAGUUGCUGAGAUUACAGGUGUGUACCACCACACCUGGCCCAUUUUGUUUUAUAUUUUGAGGCAGGUCUUGCUCAUUUGCCCAGGCUGGGCUCAAACUUGCAAUCUUCCUGCCUCAGACUCUCGAGUGGCUGGGGUUACAGGCCAGCAACAGCUCACCUUGCUGAUGGGCCCAUGUUGGACUGGACUGUUGGGAGGUGGUGGGAGCUGGAGCAUUUAGGGUCUAGUUGGAGGAAGGAUGUCACUGAGGGAGUGCCCUGGCAGGGUCCCUCUCCACCCUGGCCCCUUCCUCAUUCUCUCUGCUUCGUGGCUGCCACGAGGUGAGCAGCCUCCUCUGCCACACACGCCUGCUGUCAUCUUGUCCUGGCCCAAAGCAUGGAACCAGCCAGCCCUGGACAGAACUCUGAAACCAUGAGUCCCUGUAAGUUGAUUUUCUUGGGUGCCUGGUCAGGAAAGCUGACUACAACCCAACCACCUAGGUCUGUGUCAGUGCUCUAUGGUGGUGGCGUGCCCACGAGAUCACCUGAUGGUGUCAUCCUCAGAACCUCUUGUCAAUCCACGUGAGACUGUAUUUCAUAUUCCAGAAACAUUUCUCUCACAGCAUCCAGCACACAUAAUGUUGAGUCCUCUUUGCAUAUAAAGAUACUGAGGUGCUCAGAAGUGGAGCAGCUUGCCCCCUGAGGGAUGGAGCUGCAAAGUGUCUGGGGUCUGCAAAGACCCCAGACCCGCCACUCUCAAGUGCAGCCUCCUCCUCUCUGCUGAGGUGGGGAGUGGGGAAAGGCCUGGUGGGGUAGGUGCUGGGCCUCCCCCGGGGCCUCUGAUUUGCAGGGUUUGUGUUGGACUUCCUCCUUUCCAUGACUGGCCAGCAGGCUCUAGAGGUGGGACCAUCGCUCAGAGGACAUGGACUCCAAGAGAGGGAGUGUCAGUUAGGACUGGAUGGUAUUAGGGUCCCUGGGUCCCAGUCAGCGAAUAUCCACUGGGUCAGGAAGCCAAAGUGAGAUGAGAGCCAAUUUCACAUAUACAUGCGCACGCACAUGCACACACACACACACACACAGCAUGCAGAACGAAUCUAGGAGUUUUAUAUUAAUGCAUUUUUAUUGUGGUAAAAUGUGCACACAUUUGCUGUUUUGAUCACCUUUAAGCAUAUGGUUCUAUGGCAUCAAGUGUGUUCAUGUUGUGCGACCAUCCUGCCAUCCGUCACCAGAACUCUUCAUCUUCCCCAACUGAAAAUCUGUCCCCAUUAAACAACUCUCCUCUGCACCUGGCAACCUUCAUCCCAUUUUCUGUCUCUGUGAAUGUGACCACUCCAGGACCCUCCCCUGAGUGGAAUCUCACAGUAUUUGUCUUUUUGUGAAUAUGCUUAUAUUGAUGUCUUCAAGGUCAAAUUUAGAGGUUUCAAGAGGGAGGACCCACAGCUCUCUCUCCUUCCUGGUGCCAUGUUCCCAGCUGACUCCCUCCACCACACCCUUCCACCCGAUGGAGUCAGCCAUCUAUGAACUGAGACCUCUGGAACCCUAUCACCAAAGCCUCAAGGUCACUUAUGAUUUGUCCUUGGAAAACCAGAAAGGUAGACCACUCUUCUGCUGGAUGGGGCAUAGGGUCGAGCCUAGGUUUUCAUUUGUUUAGGUUUCUGAGUGUCUUCUUUUCUAAGUUGGAAGGACAUGACCAUUUCUUUGGCAUCAAAAGGCUAGGAAAGAAAGUACAAUUUUGUUUCUUCUUUUUCGUUAGCCAGUUGCUUUGAACUAGGAACUUAAGCUCUUAAAUUUGCUAGCAUGUGAGUAAAGUGGACAAGUUGUUUCAAAGGUUCAAGCAUUUGGAGGUGGAUAAUGAGUAUGGAAACUAGAUUUUGGCAAAGCAAUCUAGGCCAGAGAGCAUCCAGAACAUGUGGUCCACACACACGUCACACACUUGACAUAGUCAAAACAUACUGACUGGGGUUUAAAUAAAACAAACUACAGAAUUUUGGAAAUUGUCUAAUUUGUAGAUGACUCCAGUCCCUUUGCUAAUGAGGUGGAAUUUCACUAAAUGAUUAUGUUGUCUGCCUUACUGCUUUACACAUUUUUUGUUUUGAUGCUUCGUUAAGGAUCUUUAUUCUCAUGCAGUUGUGUUCAUUAAAAUACUUCAUGUCUAUUUUUCAAAAAUUAAACUGUAAAUGGAUUGAAGAGGGAUCAGUGGAGUGGAGGAAGGUGGUGGGGUGCUCUGGACGGCACGGAACAAGUUGUGUUCCGUGCUUUUGUGAUAAUGUUAGGAUAAUAGCCUAGUGUUGUAAAUAACUAAAAAGAAUAAAUUAAGAUUUUAAAGAAAAAAAUUAAAAGAAUUUUUACAUAGUGUUGUGGCCUGGUGAGUCAGCCUUCUCCACUAAGGGACCUAAUGCCAGUCGGCCUGAACCCAUAAGGCCACCCUGGCCUCCCUCCUGCAGACUGCCCCCCACCCACCAAAGCCUUGUUAUGGGAAUGUCCUUUAUCUUCCUUUCUGUCCUUCCAGACCUCCAAGGAGCUCCCCUCCCUCUGCUUCUGCAAAGUCAAGGAAGCCAACUCCGGGUACCUCCUGCUCUGCUUCACUCCAGCUACGCCAAUGACCUGCAGCUGCCUCUGGCCACCAGCGUCACCUGGCCUCUGCUGCCUCACGGCUCUAGAAGAUCUCCCAGCCGCUCAGUGAGGGCGGAGCCCGCCAGUCCCUCCC
rnacentral:lncRNA from 1 species